UACGAAGGGGGCUAGCGUUGCUCGGAAUCACUGGGCGUAAAGGGUGCGUAGGCGGGUCUUUAAGUCAGGGGUGAAAUCCUGGAGCUCAACUCCAGAACUGCCUUUGAUACUGAAGAUCUUGAGUUCGGGAGAGGUGAGUGGAACUGCGAGUGUAGAGGUGAAAUUCGUAGAUAUUCGCAGGAACACCAGUGGCGAAGGCGGCUCACUGGUCCGGAACUGACGCUGAGGUGCGAAAGCGUGGGGAGCAAACAGG
rnacentral:rRNA from 1 species